rnacentral:rRNA from 1 species
CACGUAGGGCGCAAGCGUUGUCCGGAAUUAUUGGGCGUAAAGAGCUCGUAGGCGGUCUGUUGCGUCUGCUGUGAAAACCCGGGGCUUAACCCCUGGCUUGCAGUGGAUACGGACAGACUAGAGGUAGGUAGGGGAGAAUGGAAUUCCCGGUGUAGCGGUGAUAUGCGUAGAUAUCGGGAGGAACACCUGUGGCGAAGGCGGCUUUCUGGGCCUUACCUGACGCUGAGACGCGAAAGCGUGGGGAGCGAACCGG